CCUAGCCGUAAACAUUGGUAAUACAACACAUUUAUUACCCGCCUGGGAACUACGAGCAUUAGCUUAAAACCCAAAGGACUUGGCGGUGCUUUAGAUCCACCUAGAGGAGCCUGUUCUAGAACCGAUAACCCCCGUUCAACCUCACCUCUCCUUGUUUACCCCGCCUAUAUACCGCCGUCGUCAGCUUACCCUGUGAAGGAUAAAUAGUAAGCAAAAUUGGUACAACCUAAAACGUCAGGUCGAGGUGUAGCGUAUGGAGAGGGAAGAAAUGGGCUACAUUUCCUACUAUAGGAAAUACGAACGAUGUACUGAAACGUACGCCCAAAGGAGGAUUUAGCAGUAAGCGGGAAAUAGAGCGUCCCACUGAAAUUGGCCCUGAAGCGCGC
rnacentral:rRNA from 1 species